AUUGAACGCUGGCGGCAGGCUUAACACCUGCAAGUCGAGCGAGCGUCGGACGCGUGAGUAAGUCCUGGGAAACUGCCUGACGUCGGGGUAUAACUACUGGAACCGGUAGCUACUUCCGCAUACUUCCAGAUUUGCCCACAUGGCAUUAGCUAGUAGGUGGUGUAAUGGCUCACCUAGCCGACGAUCCCUAGCUGGUCCGAGAGGAUGACCAGCCACACUGGAACUGGGACACUGUCCAGACUCCUACGGGAGGUAGCAGUGGGAAAUAGUGCAAAAUGGGCGCAAGCCUCAUGCAGCCAUGCCGCGUGUGUAAAGAAGGCCUUCGGGUUGUAAAGCACUUUCAGCGGGGAGGCGUUACUCGCAGAAGAAGGACCGGCUAACUCCGUGCCAGCAGCCGCGGUAAUUC
rnacentral:rRNA from 1 species